GGAAAGCUGAGGGUCAUGGAACUGCCGAAUAGUCCGUUCACAGAGUCACCAUAGACAUAAUUGUCCAAAUGGCUUCAACUGAGCAGGAUGCUUCAAUGUCGAGAAAAAGACGUCAUGUUGUUCUGUCAAGGUCACCUUUUCUCUCAAUGACCUCCGGAGCUGUCUGUAGUAUAUACCGGAACAAAUGGUAAUAGUUAGACUGCUUCACCAUGAUGACAAACGAUGUGGAACCACGAUGUGGAGUGAAGACGUUUCAGGAACUCUCUCAAUGAUGUGCGUUGUUGGAAAGGUUUGUGCCAAGCUGUUGAAGAUCCCAAGACAUAUCUGUAGAUAUGCUGUGUUUUGUGGGGAGAAACUCCUUGAGUGAGACUGAAUGACAACUUGACAAAAUGGAGAAAACACCAAUUUCAGGCUCAGCGACAUUGAGUGUAUUUGUGCGGGGAUUGAAGUGCUACAAUGGAGAAUGAAAUCAAUUUCAAGUUAUUGUUGUGACAUGGAGCAGGUUGUAUAUUUAAUUAAAAGUUGCUAUCCUGAAAGUUUCUACUUCUUCAAGCCAAACUGCA